rnacentral:rRNA from 1 species
UACAGAGGGGGCAAGCGUUGUUCGGAAUUACUGGGCGUAAAGGGCGCGUAGGCGGUGUGUCAAGUCAGGCGUGAAAGCCCCGGGCUCAACCUGGGAACCGCGCUUGAGACUGGCACGCUCGAGUUCGGGAGAGGAUGGUGGAAUUCCCAGUGUAGAGGUGAAAUUCGUAGAUAUUGGGAAGAACACCGAUGGCGAAGGCAGCCAUCUGGACCGACACUGACGCUGAGGCGCGAAAGCGUGGGGAGCAAACAGG